rnacentral:rRNA from 1 species
UACGAAGGGGGCUAGCGUUGCUCGGAAUCACUGGGCGUAAAGCGCACGUAGGCGGAUUGCUAAGUCAGGGGUGAAAUCCUGGAGCUCAACUCCAGAACUGCCUUUGAUACUGGUGAUCUUGAGUCCGGGAGAGGUGAGUGGAAUUCCGAGUGUAGAGGUGAAAUUCGUAGAUAUUCGGAAGAACACCAGUGGCGAAGGCGGCUCACUGGACUGGUAUUGACGCUGAGACGCGAAAGCGUGGGGAGCGAACAGG